rnacentral:tRNA from 1 species
UAAAAAGAGGUGUUGUGGAUGCACUGGAGGUUUUGAUCCUUCAAGGGUGGGUUCGAGUCCCAUUUUUUUAA